UUACUAUACAUACUCUGCACAGUUAUAUCAACCAGCAUAAUGACUUCAAACUUUAUUCCAGCUUUCUAAAAAGGCGAUCAAUCUACAACCCUGCCAGAGUCUUACAGUCAGACCGCCACAGGAAUGAUGUGUUUGCUGUUCGAGGUGUUCAGCCACUGAAUGAGGAAGAGGAGGAGGCUGAUGUCUUAUAAUAUAGAUCCAGAGCAUGGCAAGUACAAGGAAUAAGGGGCUCAAACAUUCACUCGACAUCUGGCAUGCUGCAAAGUAUUUGGGUAAAAAGCUACCUCAGGCAUACACAGUGAAAGACCAAUCGUCAGUCAUGACCUCGAUGAACCACUUCUGGUAUUUCUCCAAACAAGCAACAGCAGAAGAGCAAUUCAAGGAUUGUUGGUAUUUGUGUAGCACCAAACCCAAACUCUUGUUUGUUGGUAUGCUCAUGCUGAAAGGGAAAAUAAUGUGUUUCAAGGACUUUAUAAUAGGUAUAUAAUGAUUUUUAAAAAUAUAUAUUUUGCAGAUAUUAGAAAUUUUAUCACCUUCAGGUGUGACUACAGUCAUGCUUGUAUUUGUAAUA